ACAAGGCUGCUGUGUUGGUGUCUGCCAAUAACGUUUAUUGAUCUAUGCUUGUUUAUUAAGGGAACUAUAAGACCUUUGUGCAGUAGUAGACCGAGCUUGUACUCGGAAACGGAAGUGCGAAGCAUUAGCGCCCACCUGGAUUAUCCAGGUCAUAAGCUGAGGUAAAACGGCACAGCAGUCUUCCU
rnacentral:other from 1 species